rnacentral:rRNA from 1 species
AGCGGAGCGUGUGGUUUAAUUCGAUGAUACACGAAGAACUUACCAGGGUUUGUACAUGCUAGUGGUAGGGAGUCCGAAAGGUGACCGACCCUCGGGGAGCUAGCACAGGUGCUGCAUGGCUGUCGUCAGCUCGUGUCGUGAGAUGUUCGGUUAAGUCCGCUAACGAGCGCAACCCUUGCUGUGUGUUACAUGUGUCACACGGGACUGCCGGUCUUAAACCGGAGGAAGGUGGGAUGACGUCAAGUCAGCAUGGCCUUUAUGUCCUGGGCUACACACACGCUACAAUGGCCGGUACAAUAGGUUGCGAAGCCGCGAGGCGGAGCCAAUCCUCAAAGCCGGCCUCAGUUCAGAUUGCAGGCUGCAACCCGCCUGCAUGAAGAUGGAGUUGCUAGUAACCGCAGGUCAGCUAUACUGCGGUGAAUACGUUCCCGGGGCUU